CCUACGGGAGGCAGCAGUGGGGAAUCUUGCGCAAUGGGGGCAACCCUGACGCAGCCAUGCCGCGUGAAUGAUGAAGGCCUUAGGGUUGUAAAGUUCUUUUGCCCGUGACGAUGAUGACGGUAACGGGAGAAUAAGCUCCGGCUAACUUCGUGCCAGCAGCCGCGGUAAUACGAAGGGGGCUAGCGUUGUUCGGAAUUACUGGGCGUAAAGCGCGCGCAGGCGGUUCGAUAAGUUAGGGGUGAAAUCCCUGGGCUCAACCCAGGAAUGGCCUUUAAGACUGUCGAGCUAGAGGACGAGAGAGGUGAGUGGAAUUCCCAGUGUAGAGGUGAAAUUCGUAGAUAUUGGGAAGAACACCGGUGGCGAAGGCGGCUCACUGGCUCGUUUCUGACGCUGAGGCGCGAAAGCGUGGGGAGCAAACAGGAUUAGAUACCCUGGUAGUCCACGCCCUAAACGAUGAGUGCCAGUGUCGGAGCUAGUCUCUCGCGCGCAGCUACGACUACGCACUCCGCCGUGGAGGUACGGCGCGAGUAAACUACAAGAAGUAGAGCNGAGAGNGCGACGACGACGACGAGGAGAG
rnacentral:rRNA from 1 species